CGCGGGUCGGUUGUUGUAAAGACCUGAUAUAAACUCUUUCCAUACCUAUUUUGAGAUUUCAGAGGCAGCAAAAAUGCCCUCACAGCAGGCACCCCUCCCGUAAAAUACCUCAUCUAGCAAGCACUUCAUUAGGCAAAAGACUUAAAAAAAAAAAAACCUGCCAGGAGUCUUUGGGAACGUGACGUUGUUUGACCACACCCGUCUAAUUAACACUGUCUGCCACAUUGAGUGUGACGAUGAUGAUGCUCUCUCUUGCCUUGUAAAUACGAUCCUCCGCUGCCGCUGCCGUUCCAACAUAUACAAAUUGUGAUGGUUGAAGCUGUCAUUCAAAAUGUUCUGGAAAAUGCUAAGAAAUGUAUCACAGAUAAGAAACUCUCUUUCCAGAAUGGUGCUGUGCAAUCUUAACCUUUGGACCAAGGCAGAUUAGUUACUCUCCAUCUGUGGGGACCUCAGCAAUUAUGGUAUGUUCAGCAUCACUCUCUCUGUUCAAGUCAUGGAACCUCUCCUUUCCUCCUGAGGACUGCCUGUCUCUGGAGUUUGUGGUUGUGUAGGCAAUCAAAGGGCCAAAUCUGUCUCAUCACAUUGUAGGAUUGGGCAUGUGUGUUAGUUUGUGAGG